UGGGGAAUAUUGGACAAUGGGCGAAAGCCUGAUCCAGCCAUGCCGCGUGUGUGAAGAAGGUCUUCGGAUUGUAAAGCACUUUAAGUUGGGAGGAAGGGUUGUAGAUUAAUACUCUGCAAUUUUGACGUUACCGACAGAAUAAGCACCGGCUAACUCUGUGCCAGCAGCCGCGGUAAUACAGAGGGUGCAAGCGUUAAUCGGAAUUACUGGGCGUAAAGCGCGCUUAGGUGGUUAGUUAAGUUGGAUGUGAAAUCCCCGGGCUCAACCUGGGAACUGCAUUCAAAACUGACUGACUAGAGUAUGGUAGAGGGUGGUGGAAUUUCCUGUGUAGCGGUGAAAUGCGUAGAUAUAGGAAGGAACACCAGUGGCGAAGGCGACCACCUGGACUGAUACUGACACUGAGGUGCGAAAGCGUGGGGAGCAAACA
rnacentral:rRNA from 1 species